CAACAGGGAUUGCCCUAGUAACGGCGAGUGAAGCGGCAACAGCUCAAAUUUGAAAUCUGGCUUCGGCCCGAGUUGUAAUUUGUAGAGGAAACUUUUGGUGAGGCACCUUCUGAGUCCCUUGGAACAGGGCGCCAUAGAGGGUGAGAGCCCCGUAUAGUCGGAUGCCGAUCCAAUGUAAAGUUCCUUCGACGAGUCGAGUAGUUUGGGAAUGCUGCUCAAAAUGGGAGGUAAAUUUCUUCUAAAGCUAAAUAUAGGCCAGAGACCGAUAGCGCACAAGUAGAGUGAUCGAAAGAUGAAAAGCACUUUGAAAAGAGGGUUAAAUAGCACGUGAAAUUGUUGAAAGGGAAGCGUUUGUGACCAGACUUGCGCCGUUCCGAUCAUCCGGUGUUCUCACCGGUGCACUCGGGGCGGCUCAGGCCAGCAUCGGUUUUGGUGGGGGGAUAAAGGUCCAGGGAACGUAGCUCCUCCGGGAGUGUUAUAGCCCUGGGCGUAAUGCCCUCGCUGGGACCGAGGUUCGCGCAUCUGCAAGGAUGCUGGCGUAAUGGUCAUCAACGACCCGUCUUGAAACACG
rnacentral:rRNA from 1 species